UACGAAGGGGGCUAGCGUUGUUCGGAAUUACUGGGCGUAAAGCGCACGUAGGCGGACUAUUAAGUCAGGGGUGAAAUCCCUGGGCUCAACCCAGGAACUGCGUCCGAUACUGGUUGGCUUGAAUCCGGGAGAGGGAUGUGGAAUUCCAGGUGUAGCGGUGAAAUGCGUAGAUAUCUGGAGGAACACCGGUGGCGAAGGCGGCAUCCUGGACCGGUAUUGACGCUGAGGCGCGAAAGCCAGGGGAGCAAACGGG
rnacentral:rRNA from 1 species